ensembl:lncRNA
CGGCGGGUAGGGCGUGGUCAGCGGGGACCCGCUCCGCAGGCGACGGCCGGCUUGCAGGAACCGGUCCCGAAACUAGGGGGCGCUCGCCUUGGGCCGGGCGCUGGACCCGGUGAGGUUCCUCAGGGGAGUGCGUCAGAUUCUUGCAGCCUCCCCGUCCUGGAAACUAGGCAGGUGUGCUGGGCGCCGUGGGCAGACAGGUGCAGCUCCACCCUCCAUCUGUGAGCCCAGACUGGAACCUCCAAGCCGAGUGGGGGGCAACAAGGAAAACUACGUAGUGUCCUUGGGGACAGUGGUGUGGAUGGGUCUCCACAGGGGCAGGGCCAAGGUGGAUUCACUGGCACCGCGGGACAGCAAGGUGUGAUCGGUUGGAUAAGCAAGGAAACCCCCACAUCUGAGCACCUACACUUGGAAGAGGACACUGUUCAGAGUGACCUUUGGCACCGAGUGCAGGACAGUCCAGAAGUGGGUUGGGUGAGGUGUUGCCAGGUGGAGGACUAUUGAAUGUGCUGUGCAUUUGCCUAUGUUGGAAAUCCUGUGGAUUUGGAGAAGAUGGUGGCAGAAGCAAGAAUUUUGAAUCCCCUCGAGUCCUCCCAUAAAACUCAGAGCAGCAAGCAGAAAAACGAAGCUCAAGGGCAUCCUCACGAGCAGACCCUGACUCUGGGGUUCACAUCUAUCCGUGGGAAAUGCAAGACGCGGGGACAGGCAUUCUGGGUUGCAGGCAGAAACCCAGGGCAAUGGACUGUUUUUGCCACAGGCCACUCAAAAGGGAAUGAAG